GCAAGUCGAGCGCGCCUUCGGGUGAGCGGCGGACGGGUUAGUAACGCGUGGGAACAUACCCUUCUCUAAGGAAUAGCCUCUGGAAACGGAGAGUAAUACCUUAUACGCCCUUCGGGGGAAAGAUUUAUCGGAGAUGGAUUGGCCCGCGUUAGAUUAGAUAGUUGGUGGGGUAAUGGCCUACCAAGACUAUGAUCAAUAGCUGAUUUGAGAGGAUGAUC
rnacentral:rRNA from 1 species